AUUGAACGCUGGCGGCAGGCCUAACACAUGCAAGUCGAACGGCAGCACGAUAAAGCUUGCUUCUUUGCUGACGAGUGGCGCACGGGUGAGUAAUAUAUGGGAAACUGCCCUGUGGCGGGGGAUAACUAGUGGAAAGAGUAGCUAAUACCGCAUACACUCGCAAGGGGAAAGAGGGGGACCUCCUGGCCUCUUGCCAUAGGAUCUGCCCAGAUGUGAUUAGCUAGUAGGUGGGGUAAAGGCUCACCAAGGCGACGAUCCGUAGCUGGUCUGAGAGGAUGAUCAGCCACACUGGAACUGAGACACGGUCCAGACUCCUACGGGAGGCAGCAGUGGGGAAUAUUGGACAAUGGGCGCAAGCCUGAUCCAGCCAUGCCGCGUGUGUGAAGAAGGCCUUCGGGUUGUAAAGCACUUUUGUCGGGAAAGAAAAGACUCAGGUUAAUACCUCGGGUCAUUGACGGUACCCGAAGAAGAAGCACCGGCUAACUUCGUG
rnacentral:rRNA from 1 species